ACCGUCAAUGCAUCCCCAUCAUCUGAAGUAUCCGAACCAGUUUUAUUUUCUGCUAUAUUGCCUUGAAAGUUUUUUGAUUCAAAUUUUGUAUCAACUCCUUUGGCUCGGUAAUCUUUCUUUACGUGCCCUGUUUUUCCAUAAUUCUAGCAUUUUACCUUCUUUUUAUCUUUGGAUUUAAACAUUGUCUUCUCUCGAUCACCACGUUCCCCUUCGAAAGGCC
rnacentral:lncRNA from 1 species